ACCUCAUGAACAGAGGCAGAGACAGCCAAGGCGCAUCACCUGGAAAGGCCCUGCCAGCCCUGUCCUGCAGGAAAGACUGAAGGAGAAGGGGGGGAGGAAGAAAAGGAGGCACGCCUGGAGGAAGCCUCAGCUGGGACACAUUCACAUUCAGCUGCACCCUGCUAGAGAGAUCAGCUGCCCGAUAUCCCUUAACUGGAAAUGAUGAGCUGACUCUAGAAACUUCUGUAUGCAAAGUAUGCAUUUUACCACGGAAUCAAGUCCUCAUAACCUCGAAGAUGUGUGAGAAUGGUUCCACCACAACUUCAAGCUCAGAAGACUUCAUUCAUAUUCUGAUGUAAUGAGGCAAUAAAUUGUUGUAUUCUAA